CAAUCAACUAGAUCUAAGCAUCACCAACAUCAUACUCAUCCUGAACCAUAGGGUCUCGCCCAUUAGCUGUACCAACUGUGUGCUACACCUGUUCAAAACAGAAUAGCUGCAGCUUCACAGUCGAGGCGACCGGGAAUGAACUGCUUGCCCUAUUCAGUGGUGGGAGAUUGGCGGGUCAAGGCAUCAUGCUCUAGGGCACCAGGUUCGUAGCUCUCUCUUCUCGAGUUACAACUGCUGCUGGAAGGGCCCAUUGAAAGCAAACAUUAGUGUUAAUGGCUCGAUCUUCACGAUGAUCAAAGGUGUCGCUGUCCAGAUAGACAAAGUAGCAACGCAGCACCCGGUCUUGGGGUCUACCCUAGACCAUUGAAAGGGCCUACACGCGCUGAGUGCAGGAAUCACAAGCCUAUCUCAUCUUGACAAACCGGUUGUGGUGCAAAGACAACACAGAUGCGGUAAAACUACCAACUCCAGAGUUACUUUACCACAGAACAAUCGGCGCUUCAUAAGGGAUUUAUGGUCGAGUGAAGGAUCAAAGGUGACCUCAAAUCCACGUCCCAAUCCGUGGUCCGGAAACGUUCGCGGAGCCACAUACAACCGUUUAGUUUCGUAACGUAUAGUUUCGUUACUGCUAGGGACGAAUGUCUCGUGAUUUGAGACCAUCUUUGAGAUGCUCACCAGCUGACAGUCCUGAAAUUGAACAAAGAUGCCCGCAGGAUCAUCAAAACAAUGACUAAUACGGGUUUCGGGGCCUACUCACGAAAGCUGGGGUGUAUUUGAGCGUCUUUCGAUCAAGUCAAUGUUCCAGAGAGAAGAAUCCUCCGUGGACCUCAGAUUAGUGAACCUAGGAGGGCCAAUGGGUAUCUUUGGGUGAUAUUGUCCUCCUGGAGGUUAGAGCUCAUCCCUUCAGAGAGUAUUCAGUAACCAUGGUCCAUUCCUUGUUCUGCUGACGUCCGGAAAACUCCAAAGCACAGUCGCCCCAGGAGUGAAGCUCAGAGCCGUCUUCUCAAUGGUGCGAAGUAGUUGCUUAAAUUGCUUAGAAUCUAUUGCAAACAUCCCUUCGAGUAGGGAUAGGCCAAGCUGGGAUGGCUUCUUUCGAAAAGCCUCCGCGAUGAAAAUCCUGGGAUAACUCGACCGAACGAAGUUGCACCUUGUAUUCAUUUUGAAGAGAAAUGAGACAUUUGCAAAUGUCGUUCUUGAGAGGAGACAAUUGUCUUACAAGUGCAGGGAUCUUCCUCGUGAGCGUCGUGGUUGCUUGCACACUUUCGGGCGUCGUGGAAGCUGGCGCACACUUCAGACCCAUCUCCUUAGGUCUUUUAUUUUGUCCACCUCUUUCCCCCGACUGUUUCGAGUAACUUCCUCGCUGUAAUCGGCAUUUUGUGAAGCUGAAGACAGCUCUUACAGCUCUACUAACCUGAGGUUAACGCACAUGGUAAAUACCGCCGUGGAAAGUGACUAAGGAUGACCAAAACAAUGUUCAAAUUGUCUCAACUGUGAGAUAUAACAACUAAUCACUGCUGCCCUCCC
rnacentral:misc_RNA from 1 species